GACGAACGCUGGCGGCGUGCUUAACACAUGCAAGUCGAACGGAAAGGCCCCCUUGUGGGGUACUCGAGUGGCGAACGGGUGAGUAACACGUGAGUAACCUACCCUUGACUUUGGGAUAACUUCAGGAAACUGGGGCUAAUACCGGAUAGGAGCUCCUGCUGCAUGGUGGGGGUUGGAAAGUUUCGGCGGUAGGGGAUGGACUCGCGGCUUAUCAGCUUGUUGGUGGGGUAGUGGCUCACCAAGGCUUUGACGGGUAGCCGGCCUGAGAGGGUGACCGGCCACAUUGGGACUGAGAUACGGCGCAGACUCCUACGGGAGGCAGCAGUGGGGAAUAUUGCACAAUGGGCGGAAGCCUAAUGCAGCAACGCCGCGUGCGGGAUGACGGCCUUCGGGUUGUAAACCGCUUUCGCCUGUGACGAAGCGUGAGUGACGGUAAUGGGUAAAGAAGCACCGGCUAACUACGUG
rnacentral:rRNA from 1 species